AUGCUUCCCCGUGCUGACUACAAGUGCUCGCUCGUACAGAGCGCGGACCGCACGGUUCCUUUGUUCCUUAACUUGUCCGACUCAUUUCCUCGAAUCGGUUCUUUUGAACAAUUCGUUUCAAAGAACCAACUCGUGUCAUGGAGCGAUUACGUCAUCGCGUGGUCCCUGACAUCCAGACUCGAGACAUAUUACACACGCUCCAAACUCAAGGGACACAUCUGUGCAUCGAUGACGUGUUGAAAUUCUUUGGUGGGAAGAACAAAAAGUCCUUAAAUGCCAGCGGAGUCCCGAUUUGGUCGUUCAGGCCGGUCCCUGUGAGGUGAGACAGACUGGAGACUACAGAUCAGUGCCGUCAGAAACGGUUCCUUCCGGAAUGGAAUGUUUUAUGUGAAUUACGUCGAAGGAGCCUUUCUUAAUUGUGUGCUUCGAUGAGCAUCCAACUUAAGCUUAAACAAAUAUGUGACAACAGCAACAGCAAAAAAAAAAAUCUAUUGGCAUCCUAAGCCAUAACACACAGCUUUACGAAUCAAUCUGACAAGCUAGCAAACCGAAGGCAUGGUUACAACUUAACUGAUGUCAGAUCUUGGCCGAGCACAUGGUCUGUGCUUCCUACCAGACAAAGGUCCACAUAUGAAUACUAAACAUCACAGUUACAUAUCGACCACCAGAAAUCAAACAGAUGAUGCUUGACAUAUAACAUCAAAAAAUGAAUAAACAUCCACAAAAAUUAUUGCAACACUCUCUACGGGAACACAAUAUACCUUACAAAGUAAAACAGUAAAAUAGAAACAUGUUAAAGUAAAAACUACUUUAAAUGCAAGUUCUAUGGCAUGACGUGGGCAGAAGAGGAUAUAUUUGAUACUCCAUACGCAUGUGCCCAACAGAAGACAUAAAAGCAAAACAAACACUGUGUCCUAACCAAGUGCAUAAUCGCCACAUAAUCACAGCCAAUCAGAAUAUAUCUGAUGUUUAGCAUAAAGCUUUGUAGAUGAUUCCAGACCAAUGAGAUCACUGUGGGCGGGGCUACCCAGCGCAUCACAUCUCAAAAAAUGUCCUGUCAUGGCAAAAAAAAAAAAAAAAAAAAAAAGCAUGGAUGUGAUCUACCUUUUUAUUAAUUUGAAAUCUAAUUUCAAUAAAACUUUUAUUUUCUUUUUAUUAUGUUGUAUUCCUUUCAUUCUUAAAUGAUUAUAAAAGUUGAAAUACACUUUUAGUCUCUUAUUUUCACAAAAGGAUGCAUUUAGUUAAUAAAAAUACAGCAAUAUUGUAAAAUAAUAUUACAAUUUAAAAUAACUCUUUUCUGUUUUAAUUUAUUUAUCACAUGAUCCUUGAGAAAUCAUUCUAAUAUGAUGAUUUGGUGCUUAAGAAACAUUUAUUCUUAUAAUAUUAUAAUAUUUUUGUUGAAACUGAGACAAUUUAAUGCAUCCUUGCUGAAUAGAAGUAUUAAUUUCUUUAAACAAAACCGAAUAAAAAAAUCAAACUGACCCCAAACUUUUCAAUGGUAUGUUAUAUAAAGUUCUAUAUAAACUCUCCUUGUCUUUUUAAUCACUUCAUUGCGGAGCACAUGGUUAGGACACGGUGUAAAUGACUGGCUAGCAUAUUAAUGUUAAAAAAAGCAGCAAAAAAGACAAGCAUUGGCCCACAGUUUUCUACACGUUCAUUAUCUCUGUACUGACAUGAUGCCUGUAGCAUAAGUGAUUUCUAGGGUAAGACAAACAGUGAAAAAGACAAAGCCAAUUUUGAUUUCCGGUGCAUGUUGUUGCAGAUAUCCUCAUGCAACUAGAAUAAAAACCCCACAGAUCUUCAUAGAACCUUGA
ensembl:lncRNA